AAAUUAGUUUUUAAUUAUAUUCUAUAAAUUUUAAUGCUAUUAAAAUAAUUGUUUAUUUCAGGUGUUUAAGAGAGGAAGAGAGAGUAAGCUGAUACAUAACUUGCAGGCUCCGGCUCCGGCUCUGAAUCCGGCUCCAAACCCUAAUGGUGACGUGGACUGUGACGGACAAUG